AGCGAACGCUGGCGGCAGGCCUAACACAUGCAAGUCGAACGAACUCUUCGGAGUUAGUGGCGGACGGGUGAGUAACACGUGGGAACGUGCCUUUAGGUUCGGAAUAACUCAGGGAAACUUGUGCUAAUACCGAAUGUGCCCUUCGGGGGAAAGAUUUAUCGCCUUUAGAGCGGCCCGCGUCUGAUUAGCUAGUUGGUGAGGUAAAGGCUCACCAAGGCGACGAUCAGUAGCUGGUCUGAGAGGAUGAUCAGCCACAUUGGGACUGAGACACGGCCCAAACUCCUACGGAAGGCAGCAGUGGGGAAUCUAGCACAAUGGGCGAAAGCCUGACACAGCCAUGCCGCGUAAAUGAUGAUGAUCUUAGGAGUGUAAAAUUCUUUCUCCAGAGACGCUAAUGAUUGUGCCCGUAGAAGAAUCCCCGCCUAACUUCG
rnacentral:rRNA from 1 species